rnacentral:rRNA from 1 species
GAUGAACGCUGGCGGCGUGCCUAAUACAUGCAAGUAGAACGCUGAAGGAGGAGCUUGCUCUUCUGGAUGAGUUGCGAACGGGUGAGUAACGCGUAGGUAACCUGCCUGGUAGCGGGGGAUAACUAUUGGAAACGAUAGCUAAUACCGCAUGACAACAGUUAUUGCAUGAUAACUGUUUAAAAGGGGCAACUGCUCCACUACCAGAUGGACCUGCGUUGUAUUAGCUAGUUGGUGAGGUAACGGCUCACCAAGGCGACGAUACAUAGCCGACCUGAGAGGGUGAUCGGCCACACUGGGACUGAGACACGGCCCAGACUCCUACGGGAGGCAGCAGUAGGGAAUCUUCGGCAAUGGACGGAAGUCUGACCGAGCAACGCCGCGUUAGUGAAGAAGGUUUUCGGAUCGUAAAGCUCUGUUGUAAGAGAAGAACGAGUGUGAGAGUGGAAAGUUCACACUGUGACGGUAUCUUACCAGAAAGGGACGGCUAACUACGUG